GAUCCUGGCUCAGGAUGAACGCUGGCGGCGUGCCUAACACAUGCAAGUCGAACGGAGCUGCUUUGAUGAAGUUUUCGGAUGGAUUUAAAACAGCUUAGUGGCGGACGGGUGAGUAACGCGUGGGUAACCUGCCUCACACUGGGGGAUAACAGUUAGAAAUAGCUGCUAAUACCGCAUAAGCGCACGGUUCCACAUGGAACAGUGUGAAAAACUCCGGUGGUGUGAGAUGGACCCGCGUCUGAUUAG
rnacentral:rRNA from 1 species